UAGCGUAGGGUGCGAAGCGUUUGUCCGGAGUACUGGGCGUAAAGCGCACGCAGGCGGUCUUUUAAGUUUGGAGUGAACAGUUGGUGGCCUUAACUGCCAAAGUUGCUUCGAAAACUGAAAGACUUGAGGGCGUUCAGAGGGACGACGGAAUUCCGGGUGGAGUGGUGAAUGACGUAGAGAUCCGGAGGAACACCAAAGGCGAAGGCAGUCGUCCUGGGGAGUACCUGACGCUCAGGUGCGAAAGCCAGGGGAGGCGAACGGG
rnacentral:rRNA from 1 species